rnacentral:snoRNA from 1 species
UCUCCUUUUCUUGGCAGGGAGUGGGUGUGUGGUCCCACUCCCUGUAAUCUAUGGAGGCAGAGGGAAAGGGCUCAGUCCCCUCGGUGUCAUGUCUUGGUUGCUGGAGGCUUCCUGUCUGCCGAUUCUGUCCUUAAGUGCAAGGACACCA